rnacentral:rRNA from 1 species
UACGGAGGGGGGCUAGCGUUGUUCGGAAUUACUGGGCGUAAAGCGCGCGUAGGCGGACCUGCAAGUCGGGGGUGAAAGCCCGAGGCUCAACCUCGGAACUGCCUUCGAUACUGCGGGUCUCGAGUCCGGGAGAGGUGAGUGGAAUUCCUAGUGUAGAGGUGAAAUUCGUAGAUAUUAGGAAGAACACCAGUGGCGAAGGCGGCUAGCACCGUC